GACGAACGCUGGCGGCGUGCCUAAUACAUGCAAGUCGAACGGUUUAGUUCCAAGAGGCUUGCCUUUUGGAACUGGACAGUGGCGGACGGGUGAGUAACACGUAGGCAACCUACCUGUCAAACCGGGAUAACCUCGGGAAACCGAAGCUAAACCCGGAUAAGCUCCUUUUUCGCAUGAAGGGGGAGUGAAAAGGUGCGACCUGAUGACAGAUGGGCCUGCGGCGCAUUAGCUAGUAGGUAGGGUAACGGCCUACCUAGGCGAUGAUGCGUAGCCGACCUGAGAGGGCGUACGGCCACACUGGGACUGAGAUACGGCCCAGACUCCUACGGGAGGCAGCAGUAGGGAAUCUUCGGCAAUGGGCGAAAGCCUGACCGAGCAACGCCGCGUGAGUGAGGAAGGCCUUCGGGUUGUAAAACUCUGUUGUUUGGGAAGAAGGGAAAGGGUAGGACCCUUAGGUGACGGUACCAAACGAGAAAGCCCCGGCUAACUACGUG
rnacentral:rRNA from 1 species